UACGUAGGGUGCGAGCGUGUCCGGAAUUAUUGGGCGUAAAGAGCUCGUAGGCGGUCUGUCGCGUCGGUCGUGAAAACUUGGGGCUUAACCCUGAGCUUGCGGUCGAUACGGGCAUGACUGGAGUUCGGCAGGGGAGACUGGAAUUCCUGGUGUAGCGGUGAAAUGCGCAGAUAUCAGGAGGAACACCGGUGGCGAAGGCGGGUCUCUGGGCCGAUACUGACGCUGAGGAGCGAAAGCGUGGGGAGCGAACAGG
rnacentral:rRNA from 1 species